CUAAGGUAGCGAAAUUCCUUGUCGGGUAAGUUCCGACCUGCACGAAUGGCGUAACGACUUCCCAACUGUCUCAACCGCGAACUCGGCGAAAUUGCAUUACGAGUAAAGAUGCUCGUUACGCGCAGCAGGACGGAAAGACCCCGUGACCUUUACUACAGCUUGGUAUUGGUGUUCGGUGUGGCUUGUGUAGGAUAGGUGGGAGACUUUGAAGCAUGGACGCCAGUUCAUGUGUGAAAUACCACUCUGACUGUUUCGGGCAUCUAACCUGGGACCGUGAUCCGGUUCGGGGACAGUGUCUGGUGGGUAGUUUAACUGGGGCGGUUGCCUCCUAAAGAGUAACGGAGGCGCCCAAAGGUUCCCUCAGCCUGGUUGGCAAUCAGGUGUUGAGUGUAAGUGCACAAGGGAGCUUGACUGUGAGACUGACGGGUCGAGCAGGGACGAAAGUCGGGACUAGUGAUCCGGCACCACCUUGUGGAAGGGGUGUCGCUCAACGGAUAAAAGGUACCCCGGGGAUAACAGGCUGAUCUUGCCCAAGAGUCCAUAUCGACGGCAUGGUUUGGCACCUCGAUGUCGGCUCGUCGCAUCCUGGGGCUGGAGUAGGUCCCAAGGGUUGGGCUGUUCGCCCAUUAAAGCGGUACGCGAGCUGGGUUUAGAACGUCGUGAGACAGUUCGGUCCCUAUCCGCCGCGCGCGUUGGAGACUUGAGGAAGGCUGUCCCUAGUACGAGAGGACCGGGACGGACGAACCUCUGGUGUGCCAGUUGUCCCGCCAGGGGCACGGCUGGUUGGCUAUGUUCGGGAGGGAUAACCGCUGAAGGCAUCUAAGCGGGAAGCCUGUUCCAAGAUGAGGUCUCCCACCACCUUCGAGUGGGUAAGGCUCCCAGUAGAUGACUGGGUUGAUAGGCCGGAGAUGGAAGCCCUGUGAGGGGUGGAGUUGACCGGUACUAAU
rnacentral:ncRNA from 1 species